rnacentral:rRNA from 2 species
CCUGGCGGCUUUAGCGCGGUGGUCCCACCUGACCCCAUGCCGAACUCAGAAGUGAAACGCCGUAGCGCCGAUGGUAGUGU